rnacentral:rRNA from 1 species
AUUGAACGCUGGCGGCAGGCCUAACACAUGCAAGUCGAGCGGGGUUUUCGGACCUAGCGGCGGACGGGUGAGUAAUGCGUAGGAAGCUACCCGAUAGAGGGGGAUACCAGUUGGAAACGACUGUUAAUACCGCAUAAUGUCUACGGACCAAAGUGUGGGACCUUCGGGCCACAUGCUAUCGGAUGCGCCUACGUGGGAUUAGCUAGUUGGUGAGGUAAUGGCUCACCAAGGCGACGAUCCCUAGCUGGUUUGAGAGGAUGAUCAGCCACACUGGACCUGGGACACGGUCCAGACUCCUACGGGAGGCAGCAGUGGGGAAUAUUGGCCAAUGGGCGCAAGCCUGAUCCAGCCAUGCCGCGUGUGUGAAGAAGGCCUUCGGGUUGUAAAGCACUUUCAGUAGGGAGGAAGCGUUGUGUGUUAAUAGUACACAGCGUUGACGUUACCUACAGAAGAAGCACCGGCUAACUCUGUGCCAGCCGCCGCCGUAAUAC